UUUACAAAUUCACUCUAUCUUCCUAUAUGAUGAUUACAUAAUAACCUUGUUUCUUUAUGUUUUUAUCUUCAUUCUUCUUCAAUUUUAUUAAAUUUGCCUCAAUUCUACUCUAUGGCAAAAUGCCAAGUCCACAUGCAAGCCCAACAUCCUCCAAGAUAAAGAUAAUUUUUAAACAUGAUUUAAUGUGGUUGAAAUAAAUAGCCAUGUUGUAUUUUAUCAAAACACCAAUCUUGCAUUGAAUUCCUUCACCUCACACAUUUACACCUCUGCAAAUUUGUGCAGCAAAAUUGAGGAAAAUUAAAUCCCAUAGACAGCGAAAGCUCACAUGAUCAUUUAUCACGAUUGCUAUUUCGCUCCCAAUUUUUGUUGCUGUAUUCAUUAAUUUUAGGGUAUGGGCUGUUUCUCCUUAUCUCUACGGAUUUCGCGGUCGACUGAAUCGAAGAAGAAAUCGAGAGAAAUUUGUAAAUGGGUUGAGUUUGUUAUAUAAGUCGGGGCUGCUUCUUUGUUUCUUUCUCUGUAAUUUCUGCAAUUUCUCCUUUUUUUGGCAUUUUCGUGUCGAGAAAACUUUUUUUUCUGUUUUUGAAAUAGAGGUUUUGGAUUCUUGUGUUUGCUCUUGUUGAUUGGGACAGCUGCUUUUGUUUACCAUGGAUUUUCUUGUGGAGAAAAAUUGAGCUCAAAUCCAGGUAUGGUUUCAAGAGGGAGCAAUGCUAUGGCAUUGGUACUGAAAAGCA